rnacentral:rRNA from 1 species
UGGGGAAUAUUGGACAAUGGGGGCAACCCUGAUCCAGCCAUGCCGCGUGAGUGAAGAAGGCCUUAGGGUUGUAAAGCUCUUUCGCUAGGGAAGAUAAUGACGGUACCUAGUAAAGAAGCCCCGGCUAACUUCGUGCCAGCAGCCGCGGUAAUACGAAGGGGGCUAGCGUUGUUCGGAAUUACUGGGCGUAAAGCGCGCGUAGGCGGGUCGUCAAGUCGAGGGUGAAAGCCCGGGGCUCAACCUCGGAAUAGCCUUCGAUACUGGCGAUCUUGAGUCCGAGAGAGGUGAGUGGAACUCCGAGUGUAGAGGUGAAAUUCGUAGAUAUUCGGAAGAACACCAGUGGCGAAGGCGGCUCACUGGCUCGGUACUGACGCUGAGGUGCGAAAGCGUGGGGAGCAAACAGGAUUAGAUACCCCCGUAGUCC